rnacentral:lncRNA from 1 species
ACAUAGCCAGUGGGUCUGAGUUGGCUUUCCUUCCCAAGCCUGUCUGAUCCCCCAAACCCUUGGCUGCCCCCACUCUGCCUCCCAGCCGUUCCAGCUGCAGCCUUUUCACUCAUUCCACCACCACUCAGCUCUGAGUGGCUACCCUGGUGGGCUCUCUGCUUUGCGUCGGAGACAUCACAGUGAGCAAAGGCAGAUAUGUUUUAUGUGCCCUUGAAGAAUCUUCCAUACAAACGUGUAAUUGCAAUCGGAGCCAAAUGGCCGGGGCAAGUGGCACAGAUGAAUGCCGGGCAGAGGGGCCUGCAGACUGGGGUCCCCUUAAAGGCAGAGUGAAUCUCAGAUUCAUCUUAGUCCCUUCCUGGGGUCUUGUUCAGGACCCUGCAUCCAGUAGAUGCUCAACAAAUGUCAACAUAGGAAUCCAGGUCCCAUCCUCUCCUCACUCAAGGGAUCCAAGGCUGCCUCUUCCUCUUCCGUAGCGGUGUGGCUUUGCGGAAGUCACUUAAGCUCUCUAAUCCUCCUCCUCAGAGUGCCAGACUGCAGCUGCCACAUGAAGAGAGAUAGGGUCUCCUAUGUUUCCUAGGCCUGUCUUGAACUCCCGGGCUCAAGCGAUUCUCCUGCCUCAGCCUCCCAACAUGCUGGAUCACAGGCAGUAGCCACCUCGCCUGGCCAGUGUUCCCUUUACAAAAACUAGAAUGCUGAGCCCAGCCACAUCAGUCUUGGCUGGACUCACUGCCCACCUCUGGGACCUUGGUGGUGGGGCGGGAAGGAGGACCUCAAAGGCUCAGCGAGUCCACCCCCAGCCCAGCCACCAGAGCCAGCCUCCUCCUCCGCAACACCCAGGCUCUUAUCAGGAAAGGAUUUGGGUUGGUGGGGAGGGGCGGGGGGGAAGUCGGAGGCCCCAGGCUCGGCAAGGUGGGUCGGAGAGAUAGGGAAGUGGGGCGGGGGCUGUGGGCCCCUGCUGGGCGGGGGAGAGCAAUGGGAGGGAAGCCCAGAAUGGGCACUUUCGGGGACUUUGGCCAAGCUCUGUCCUCACUGGCCUGGCCCUCAACAUGUUUCCAGGACUUCUGCCUCCCAUCCUUGCCAGGCAAGUUGCCUGCACCUUUAAUUAGCAAGCAGCAGUUUCUCUCCAAUUCAUCACGGUCGCUGUUUAAUUAGCCGAGCCCAGGGCGCCCCCACCCCCAGCUCUGCCUGCCUGUCUUACCAAGGCCACCACCACCUCAGGGUGUCCCCUGUUACCACCCCCCACAAUUAUUCUGCUCCCCAGAAUGGGGGAUGGGCCCGGCACGCCCAGCUGAAACCUCAAGGAGAUUCUGGGCACCGGCGCUUGUAUUCAAGGCAUCCAGCAAACAUAAUUAGGGACCGAGCCUGCGCCAGUCUGGCUCUGGGUAGAACCCCGGCCGGACACGCGGGGCAGGCUCUGGUCCUGUCCAGCUGCUGGAGAAUGGCUUCUCCCUUGGGAGGCACUGGGACGUCUCUCUGGCCUGGUCCCUGUGUGCUGGGAAGAGGCUGCAGUACUCCUGUGUGUCACUCCCACCCCACAUCCGGAAAGGGAUACCGUGUCUUCCUCUUCCUCUCUCUUCCAGAGCCCAGAAAGCUCCUCUGAGAAUGCUGGACCUCAGGACAGGGGCCCAUGCUCUGCACCCGGCCCUCAGCAGCCAAAUCCUAGAGGCCCAGUCCAAGCUGUGGGCCAAGGGAGCGGGGCGGGCUGAGGCCUGCUUUGUGUCGGCAGUGUCUGGGGAAUCGGGAGCACUGGCGGGAGCCCAUGGUCCGGGGCCGAACCAGCCCCCUUCUGUUUCCCUGAAGAAGGGUGAGGCUGAGAGCCCUCGGAACAGAGCCCCUGUGUCAUUCUGUGCAGGGCCAGGGUAGCCACUAGUCACUGUGGGCAGAAGCAAGAAGCAGAGGCUUAGGCUCCGUCCCAAGCCUGUGCUCCUGCUGGGCUGUGGGAGGUGUGACCCUUCUACUGUUUCGUGGACUGAGAACAUGGAGGGACUGGCAUUUGCUGUGUUACCCUGUGGUGCCAUCAGCGUGUUGUGACGGGGCAGGAGGAGUGUGCUAGAACCCACCCACUCUGGUACUGCCCAUCUCUGUGGCCUUGGGCCAGCCACCAAACCGUACCAUGCCUUAGUUUCCCUAUGAUUCAUAGCUGCUUCAUGGGCUGAUGUGAGGAUUAAAUGGCUUACAAUGUAUUUGGGUUUGGUUUUGUUUGGCUUUGUUUUGUUUUUUGAGACAAGGUCUCACUCUGCUGCUCAGGCUGGAGUGCAGUGGUGCAAUCACAGCUCACAGCAGGUUCCACCUCUCAGGCUCAAGCGAUCCUCCCUUCUCAGCCUCCCUGGUCUCGCUCUUGCCCAGGCUAGAUGGAGUGCAGUGGUGUGAUCUCGGCUCACUGCAACCUCCACCUUCCGGGUUCAAGUGAUUCUCCUAUCUCAGCGUCCUGAGUAGCUGGGAUUACAGACUCCAGCAUAACCUUCUCCAGGAAGCUUUUCCAGAGCCCCCAGGCUAGGAACCUCCCCCCAACCCCUGAACUCAAGCCCCAGCAGCCCGUGCCUGCGCCAUCUGCAUCAGAGCUGCAUCUCUCCGGGUCUCUGGGUAACAAGUGCCAUUUCUUUGUUGUUUUCUGUGUCCCCCAAGGACAAAGCUCAGGCUGGAUUCAUCUCAGAAUUCCCAACACCAGGGGUAGAACUGGCUCAUUUCAAUUUCAGUCAAUGUUUGUUGAGCAAAGGAGUGAAGAGUUGGACAAAUGAAUGAAUGCAUGAAACGGUCUGGAGUGGGGAAGCUGAAGCUCAGGCAUCAGGAUCCAGGAGAAGCAUCCAGUCCAGGCGGAUGGGGUGGAAGGUUCAGAGCAGGGGCCCCAAGUCAGGAGUCGGGAGGCAGAGACGGCAAGACCUCCUUCCAUGAAAGGAGGCUGGGACCGGGGGACCAGGUAGUGCAACGCGGUGAGGGGGUCGGCAGGGGGACUGGCCCGAGGAGUCAGAGGCAGGAGGCACCACCGGGUUACAGACAAGGACAUUCUAUGAGAGGGAAACGUGUCAUGGGCUCUGGAGCCCCUGUCCAGGUUCAAAUUGUGACCCUGUGCCAGGGACAGCUUCUUUGUGCCUCAGUUUUUCCCAUAAAAUGAGGAUAAUAAUACUUCAUUCAUGCAUUCAUGCAUUUUUUUCCCCUCAACAAACAUUUGUUGUAUGUCUGCUGUGGGCCCAGGACAGGAGGCUGAGAGGGAACUGACCACAGUGGUCACACAGCCAAGCCCUGCCGCUGAGAUCUGACCCCAGUUCGCCUGUCACAAGUUCUAUUUGUGCCUCGUUGUCUGCCUCUUGGGGCUGUUAUGAGGGCUGAAGAAGGGGCAGGCACAGAGGAGACACUUAUUAUAUGAUCACUGUCCUCCUAGAGUAUCAUCACCAUCAGGUGGACUUCAGUGGCCAUCCCAGGCCUCCACGCAUCAACCACAAGAUCUUGGAGAAUGUCCUUACCCUCCAAGCCUCAGUUUACCUUUAGGGUGACCAACUAUCCUCGUUUGUCCAAAACUGAGGGUUUUCCUGGCACAGUCCCAGGCAAACUGGGAUGGUGAGUCACUGAUAUAGUUUGGCUCUGUGUCCCCACCAAAUCUCACCUUGAAUUUUAAUAAUCCCUACAUGUCAAGAGCAGGACCAGAUAGAGAUAAUUGAAUAAUGGGGGCAGUUUCCCCCAUGCUGUUCUCACGAGAUCUGAUGGUUUUAUAAGCGGCUUCCCCCUUUGCUCAGUAUCACUCUCUCUCCUGCCGCCCUGUGAAGAGGUCCCUUCCACCAUGAUUGUAAGUUUCCUGAGGCCUCCCCAGCCAUGCAGAACUGUGAGCCAAUUAAACCUCUUUUCUUUAUAAAUUACCCAGUCUCAGGCAUUGCUUCACAGCAGCGUGAGAAUGGACUAACCCAGUCACCCUGGUUUCCUCUUCUCUAACACAGGGACCACCUGCCUCCCAGGGCUGUUGUACAGAACAGAAAUAAGCCUACGGAAAAGGCAGAAAACCAUGGAGCCAGAAUUCUAGAUCUGGUUACAUGAAUACUAAAGACUUUUGCAUGCCAUGGAAUUCCAGGCAUGAAAAAGAAUGAGGCGGUCCCGUGUACGGCUGUGGAAGAAGCUCUGAGAUACAUGUUUUUUUGUGAAAAAGGCCAGAUCCAGCGCACUUUGUGGGGAGCGCUUCUGUUAGUACCAAGGAGGGGGCAGGAACACACAUGCACGUGCUCCAAUGCGCACAUGGGUUCUCCCAGGAGGGGACUGGGGGCUGAAGAGAAAAGACUUGCUUUUCACUAUACAUCCUUUUGCUUUGUUUGACUUAUUUUACCCCUUUGUUUUCAGUACUGGCUGAAAAACUUCCCAAGCUUCCAUGUGUCAAAAAGAACUCACUGAACAAGAUUAAAAGGCCAAAGUUAGGGAGUAGGAAAUGUGUCUAACUCAGGGCCCAGCAUCUAAGGAGUGCUCCGUGAAAGGCCUUCUCCCCUCUCCCACUCCUGACCUUGCUGACUGCUGGGAGUGCAGGGGCACAGACGGGCUGUUGCCUCCCCCAGUGCGGUAUUUGUGAGGCUCAAAUGCAAGCCUAGGCUGGGGAGACUGCUCUGGGUUCCAGCGGCGUCCUGCCUAAGCCCUAGGGGUCCCAGAGGUCACUGGCUCCCUUCCCUGCCCUACCUCAAAGAGCAGAGGUGGCAGAGGUGGGCCCACCACACAGGGUAAAUGUCCCGGUUUCACAUACCUCCGGAUUGCAGGGACCUGCGUAUGCUGCUGCGGCUGCGGAAACCAGUUCUCUCUGGCUCUGGCCUUGGGGAGAGGGAGCCGCAGUUGAUUUAGGAAGAGGCUCCAGAUGUAGCGUGAGACUACCAAACAGGCCUGACCCCCACAGACCCUGCCUCUUGUGAGCGCCCAGACUCAGCCCUGCCUCGGGCUCCCAGCCAUGUGGCCAGCCGCUUUUCUUUAAUUUUUAGCAUCAGACGAAUAUUUCAGGAAAAUAUUCUCGUUGUAAAAUCUCAAACAUUAAUAAAAUGUAGUG